rnacentral:SRP_RNA from 2 species
GUCGAGCUCAGUAGCGAGGGCUUGUGACCUAUGUGGGGACAAUAAGAUGGUGGAACACUGGCCCGGGCCCACAGGUCGGAUCUGUUGUGGCAUGUUCUGGGCUGCCCGGUCCAAGCCGAGAGUGAUCCAUGUGUGCUGAGCGAAGGCUUGGCUCAGGCGGUUCCUAAAGAGGAGGGCAAUGCGUGAGGCUGGUUUCACAGAGCAGCGAUCACCUCCCUCUCUCGACAGUGGACGGAUAACAGCUCAAAGCCACUCAGAUCCAGCAUGGUCUGGUGGCUCGUACCCAGCUGAACCACCAUCUUU